UGUAAUCCUAGCUACUCAGGAUUCUGAGACUUGAGGGUCAUGGUUCGAAACCAGCUCAGGGAAGAAAAGUCCAUGACACUCUUAUCUCCAAUUAACCAUCAAACAUCUGGAAGUGGUGCUGUGG